rnacentral:tRNA from 1 species
CGGGACGUAGCUCAGCUUGGCUGGAGCGCUUGCCUUGGGAGCAAGAGGUCGCAGGUUCGAGUCCUGCCGUUCCGACCA